CCUGGCGGCCUUAGCGCGGUGGUCCCACCUGACCCCAUGCCGAACUCAGAAGUGAAACGCCGUAGCGCCGAUGGUAGUGUGGGGUCUCCCCAUGCGAGAGUAGGGAACUGC
rnacentral:rRNA from 2 species